rnacentral:rRNA from 1 species
AUUGAACGCUGGCGGCAUGCCUUACACAUGCAAGUCGAACGGUAACGCGGGGCAACCUGGCGACGAGUGGCGAACGGGUGAGUAAUGCAUCAGAACGUGCCCAGUAGUGGGGGGAUAGCCCGGCGAAAGCCGGAUUAAUACCGCAUACGACCUACGGGUGAAAGCGGGGGACUCGCAAGAGCCUCGCGCUAUUGGAGCGGCCGAUGUCAGAUUAGGUAGUUGGUGGGGUAAAAGCCUACCAAGCCGACGAUCUGUAGCUGGUCUGAGAGGACGACCAGCCACACUGGGACUGAGACACGGCCCAGACUCCUACGGGAGGCAGCAGUGGGGAAUUUUGGACAAUGGGCGCAAGCCUGAUCCAGCCAUGCCGCGUGCGGGAAGAAGGCCUGGUGUAACGCUUGUC